rnacentral:tRNA from 1 species
GGGUCGGUAGCUCAGCGGCAGAGCAGGUGCUUGUUAAGCACCCGCGCGUGGGUUCGAGUCCCACCCGUCCCU